UCGAUAGCCAAAGGUCAACAGACAUUUAAGGAAAGACCGAAACAGUCAAAAAGAAUGGCAAGAAACCAGGAACCAUGCAGGUUGAAGGACAAAACUUCAGAGGAAACCGAAAUCAGUAUCCUCAGAAUGAUGUGUGACAUCCAGAUGGAUACAAUUAAAAAUGGGAAAAAAAAUUUAUUUGAAAGAAAUGGAAUGAAUGAAAUCCGUCAAAGAAGAUAUUUUUAAAAAUAAAUAAAUAAACUUCCCAGAAAUGAAUGACAUCCUUUCAAGAUUGAAAGCAUGAGAAGUGGAAAAAAGGUCAAUACCAAGACAAGAUACAUGAAAUUUCAAAAUUUUCAAAGUCAAAGGGACCCUAAAACUGUCCAGAAAACCCACAGACCUAAGAAUUAGUAACAUCAGACACUGGAAUCAAAGAACACUGGAAGGUAGAAGACCAAAAUUUUAGGAAAAAAUUACUUUCAACUUAAAAUUUUGUAUCCAAAUUAUCAAGUGUGUGAGUGUUUAAAAACAUUUUCAUACAUUCGCAGUCUCAGAGAAUUUACUUCUGAAGCCUUUUGCUCAGGAAAUUACUGAAGGAUGUGUUCUGUCUACCAAAACAAGGAAUUAAACCAAGAAAGAGGAAGACACAGGAUUAAAAAAGCAACAACAGCUCUUUCCCUGCCGCCGCGGAGUCGCGCAGAGGCGGAGGCUUCGGUGCGUUCAAGAUGCCGCUUCACCCGUAACCCACCGCCAUGGCCGAGGAAGGCAUUGCUGCUGGAGGUGUAAUGGACGUUAAUACUGCUUUACAAGAGGUGCUGAAGACCACCCUCAUCCACGAUGGCCUAGCACGUGGAAUUCGCGAAGCUGCCAGAGCCUUAGACAAGCGCCAAGCCCAUCUUUGUGUGCUUGCAUCCAACUGUGAUGAGCCUAUGUAUGUCAAGUUGGUGGAGGCCCUUUGUGCUGAACACCAGAUCGACCUAAUUAAGGUUGAUGACAGCAAGAAACUAGGAGAAUGGGUAGGCCUCUGUAAAACUGACAGAGAGGGGAAACCCCGUAAAGUGGUUGGUUGCAGUUGUGUAGUAGUUAAGGACUAUGGAAAGGAGUCUCAGGCCAAGGAUGUUAUCGAAGAGUACUUCAAAUGCAAGAAAUGAAUAAAGAAAUCUUUGGCUCACA